CACGUCACAACAAAUUAGCCUGUGAGGAUACAGAGCGUUUCCUCGUGGACGGGGAUGGCGUUUGGCUGGACGUGGAUGGGGGCCAUGGGGCAAGGUCACGGAGCACGAGGCCAAGGACCAAAGGAACUUGACGUGCUACCAGUGCAGACAUUUUGGACACUGGGCCAAACACUGUGUGAACAUACCAAAGACUGUCAGGUUUGAUCCCCAAUAAUCCUUAUGUGAUUCCUGGACAUUGCUUUCAGGGGAAUACUGAGGCCACACAGAACAUCUACUGACACACUGCUGAGGACCCCAGAGACAAUGUGGGUACAGCAGACCCCAUGUUGUCUGCAACAGUGGAAGGAAAACACACAGACUUCCUGGUUGACACCGGAGCCACACAUUCCACUCUGAACUCUGCUUCUCCUUUUCUCUGACAUCAAGAACUGUGUCUUUAACAGGGUUCUCAGGGACUGAACAGUCUGCUAUUCACGAUGCCUCUGACCUUCACCUUGGGUAAUCAGAAUAUGAAACAUUCUUUUGUAAGUUUUCCUACGACUCCCAUGAAUUUACUUGAGCGACACUUGCUGAUAAAGAUGGCAGCUACAAUCAUGUGCUCGGCUGAUGGACUAAUUGUUGCAUUUCCUGAUGGCACCUCCCUUCUUUGUGGAAAUUUCCAAACAGAAGGACAGUAUCUGAUCCAGCCAGUGGUGUCUGAGUUUGCUGACAUCUAUUGAGAACUUUUAACAAAUUUACCCUACAGCAGCCUAAUGUCAACGUUCUUGGCCUGGAAGCCCUGGCUCCUGUGUCUGCGCUUCUGUGUCCCUCCUCCGGGUCCACCACACGUGACCCUGUUCUGUGACAGAGACGUCUCUGAAUGGUACCAGGAACCUUUCCUUUCCACUUUGAAGGAAACAACCUGGCAGCACCAAGUGAAAAAAUUGGGCGUGAUGAUGAAACGUUCCCUGGCAGCCACAGAUUCGAUUGCCACAGCAGCACUAGGUUUGUUUUCCUCCCGUACUCUUUACACAUGUAAUAUCUGUUAUUCAGGGUCUGAUCACAUAAUAAAUUUUGAAGUAAAAUGUAAUGCAAUUUUCCAUAAAUUAGUGACUAUUAGUGACUAUUCCCUCAUAAUAGAAUUGAUUUUAGUUUAAUCAGGUUUUGCAAGAUAUUUUGCAGGACUGCCCACUAGACUUUUUGUUUGCUGCACCAACAACGGAGACCUGCGUUAAAGCCACCUCUCUGGUUUUGCAGCGCCUGUGUCAAACAGCUUUUAAGGUCAGUAAUAACAAAUUGCAGAUUGCUCGAAAACAGGCUAUGUUUCUGGGUAGAAUAAUUUCAGCAGGAACGACUGGCAUGUCCCCAUGGAACAAGCUUUUGUCUCUCUCAAACAACACAUGGCUUCGGCUGCAGAGCUGUCCAUCCCUGAAUACACUUUACAGUUCUUUGGGGAUAUUUCUGUAACAAAACUGACUGU